GCGCUUGGGUGUGGAAGUGACAGCAGCAGUCUUUUUUUUUCAAGAUUGACUCGCUUCGUUUUGUACUCCGGUCAUGGUCACGUAGUUGUAGUGCGUGAUAGCUCAGAACCCAGCUGUGAUCAGCAGCUGUGGGGCAGCCGGAGCGCGGCCUUUGCUUGGGCUGGAGAGUGAAAAUGAUCCUCAGACGAACCAAGCACCCCGCAAGGAAGUAUACACUUCGGAAACACCUUUAGGAUUCCAAGUGAGAACAGAAAUAGUAUACAAAGACGUUCAGCCUCCUAUUACUCGACUGCUCAGGCGUGUGGUAUCGUUCUUUGAUUCUAGUGGCAGCCCUCCUUCUGAGAAGUGAGCUGCCUGAAAGCUCAGAACAUUGUGUUGGGGCUCUGAGAAUGUCAUCCCAGUGCCUUACACCAGACCACCACUGGAAAAUUGUCCCCUUGCAUUGCUGAAGCAACAGCUCUGUCUUGGACACCACUCUGCUGGACUUGGAAACCUUCUCGUCUGCUUGUGUCACUGCUGUUCUCUGUGCAUGUAUCGGAGUUGCUGAACAUGAACUGGGUUCACCCAGGUGUACUGUGAGGUGUUAAUGAACCUGUGUGCUGCCUGGUGUCCCAUGACCAAUGCUCUGACCGGGUGUGAAGUUGAUUUCCCAGCUGGUGUGCAGGAUGUACCUGGAUGAUCCAGAGUGUACCUGGGAUGGCUUUCAACUGAGCAGCUCUGAAGUGAAUACUUGAAGAACAAUGAGUAAAUGGGAAGAAGCGUAGUUUAGUGUUUCAGGCACAAGAGUUCUUACUCGUGUUUCAAAUAAAAGUUUAUGAACUACAAGUGCAGAAAUGUUACUGCGAGAUAAAAAGCUAUUAAAUUUUCUG